GGUGCAUUCCUAACUCCCUUGCACUAAGGCUGACUGAGGCUGUGGGAAGACAUAUAACUCUUGUGCUCUUUUUCUUUCUUAAAAGUCCUGUGGUGUUGCAUUCAGGUACUUUGUCCUGGUUCUACCUGUAUGGGAUCUGAGUCUGGGAAAAUCCCUGGAUCUAUCUGCUGGUCUAGGCCCUAUAAAGGCAGCUGUGUCCUGAGUAUGAAAGGCUAGCAUGCAGAGGGAUACGUUUAACGUGGAGUGUAGGAGCUGGCAAGCUGGAGUGAGAAUGCCGCAUCUGGGAGAAGUCAGCGGAGGAUCGCAGCCCUGGGACUAUUAGUUGCAAAGGAAGGAUUUGAAUCUCAGCCCCGAUCAAACGGGUUCAGAGACCGCUGAAGUGCGGCUCUUGAGUCUGGGGAUGUAGUGUAACCUUUUCUGCCAAUCAGAAUGCGAUGAGGACAACACCCUAACUGGCAAGCACCUGUUGCACCGAAGAGCAACUUCAAGGAGACAGGCACUCUGUAUCACAUUUUAGAACUGCCAAUCCCUACAAUGCUAUUUUGAUUUCUUUCUAAAAGAAAGCUUAAUCAGUUUCUUUGAUGGAAUCCCAAAGAUUCUGCACCGUUACAGAGAAUGAGGAUGCCCAGCCUCCAGAUGAACUGCUUUGUCACUAGUUCUGUAGAACAGUUAAAUACUGUAUGCAUGCCUAUGCCUUGAGAUAAUAAAUAAAUGCAUACGACCAUAAAUACA